rnacentral:lncRNA from 1 species
CCGACCACAAUCAGCCACCCAAGGUCGCAUCCAUCAACUUCGUAGACAAGGAUCUGGUUCAAAAGUAGCCCGUGAUUCCGCACUUUACACGAUCAUCGCCAAGGAAGGCUUCAGGAAGACUAUUUAGGGUACAAGAAACAAUGUCCAGAGAGAGCUAGUUGCAACUCAUACUGAAGCAGGUUUCAAUAAUUCAGGAAGACUAUUUAGGGUACAAGAAACAAUGUCCAGAGAGAGCUAGUUGCAACUCAUACUGAAGCAGGAGAAACCUUUGAACAAAUGGCAUUCUGAUCGACUUCAUGCAGGACAAACAUCACAGGAAUGAUAC